UCNUGGCUCAGAUUGAACGCUGGCGGCAGGCUUAACACAUGCAAGUCGAGCGGUAGCACAGGGGAGCUUGCUCCCCGGGUGACGAGCGGCGGACGGGUGAGUAAUGUCUGGGAAACUGCCUGAUGGAGGGGGAUAACUACUGGAAACGGUAGCUAAUACCGCAUAACGUCGCAAGACCAAAGAGGGGGACCUUCGGGCCUCUUGCCAUCAGAUGUGCCCAGAUGGGAUUAGCUAGUAGGUGGGGUAAUGGCUCACCUAGGCGACGAUCCCUAGCUGGUCUGAGAGGAUGACCAGCCACACUGGAACUGAGACACGGUCCAGACUCCUACGGGAGGCAGCAGUGGGGAAUAUUGCACAAUGGGCGCAAGCCUGAUGCAGCCAUGCCGCGUGUGUGAAGAAGGCCUUCGGGUUGUAAAGCACUUUCAGCGAGGAGGAAGGUGGUGAGCUUAAUACGUUCAUCAAUUGACGUUACUCGCAGAAGAAGCACCGGCUAACUCCGUGCCAGCAGCCGCGGUAAUACGGAGGGUGCAAGCGUUAAUCGGAAUUACUGGGCGUAAAGCGCACGCAGGCGGUUUGUUAAGUCAGAUGUGAAAUCCCCGGGCUCAACCUGGGAACUGCAUUUGAAACUGGCAAGCUAGAGUCUCGUAGAGGGGGGUAGAAUUCCAGGUGUAGCGGUGAAAUGCGUAGAGAUCUGGAGGAAUACCGGUGGCGAAGGCGGCCCCCNGGACGAAGAC
rnacentral:rRNA from 1 species